ensembl:lncRNA
UCUAUACAUUUGCCUCAUGACCAUCUAAUUGAUAAUGAAGACUUUAACUUCCUUAUAUUACCUCAGAAAAAAAGUUUGAAAUGUUAACCAACCACUGGACUGACCCUGGAAGGACAAAAGACUGACGAUGUUUUAUUUUGCUCAAGGGCAGCCACCCAACAUCUGCUUUUGUGACAAGUUAAAAUAAUUGUAUUGUAGAGGUAUAGGGGUAAAAAUGACCUGAAAGAUCAUCUUCUCCAACCCUCAUUUUAUAGAUGAGGAAAUUUAGGUCUCAAGCUGUGAAGCAUUUUGCCCAAGAUUACUCUGAUCAUUGCAUUCAUAUGAACUCAAGAAGCUAGAAAACAGAACCUCUGCCUCCCACUUGAUGUUCUUAUCACACCUUCAGUUCUCUUUCUUGUUUCAACAUUUUUUGCUUCACUAAAUGUAGGGAGUCUCCCAGUAGGGCCUGCCUGCUAGAGAACAGGGCGCCGAGGGAGAGAUCUCUCCUAGUUUUCAAGUCCACUAGUUUACACUGGUUUGAUUUUAUUGAAGAAGGUCAAAAGUUAGACCAAGUUUCCUAUUCCCUUUACCUCCUCAAGCUACCAAAGAAACAGAUUUGCUAAAGUUUCCCAAAUCAUUCUUUCACUCUUUUUUUUUUUUUUUUUUACAGUAAGAGCAUUACUGGCAGAAAGUUUCCCAGCAGCAUGUUCCCCCUAGAUACUGCUCCUGGACGCAGACCUGAAGGCUCGCGAGGGGCGCUCCGGACGCGGCGCGGCCCCCUUGCCCUUCCUCUGCGCGCGCGUCUUCGUGUCUCCGCGUGUAGGGCUGCAGGGCGAGGCGUGACCCAGGGUCCACGUUCUUACUGUUAAAUCCUGCCUUGGUUGUCACAGUUUUAUAUGAGAGUUGAAGCAUUUUCUCCGUGAGUUCCAGAGCAGUCUUGAAGUCAGGGGUAAGAGUUUUCUUGGUAAGUAUUAAGUAGAAGUUGCUGAAUGGCAGAGGGGUGGAAAGGGGAAGGAUGCCUUAGGAAAAAAGCCGUUUGUUCUUGCUAAUGGACUUGCUUCCAGUUCGUUUUCCAAUCUCUUCAGGAAUGAUUUUCGGCCCUCUUCCUGCAUCCUGUGUUCUGAUUCCUGGAGCGUGCACUACUCCUUCAGUUCCUUUCUCCCAGGGUCUGUUAGAAGAGUGACCUUGAAAAUAUGUGGUCUGUGGUAGACUUGGGAUUCUGGCCUCCAGAUACUUGGCUCUUUCACUCGUGAGAAACUCCUGCCUUAGGCUGACUUGAGCCUGGGUCGGCAGUGCCUGGUCCAUUUGCACACCAUCCGGGACAGAUCUCAGAUGGGGAAAAGUGGCAGACACUGAUGGUGAAAUUUGCAAUGAUACUACAGAUGUGCAACCUCCAGAGCAAGAGAUUAUGUGUGGAGACAUAUAACAGACCAUUUAAAAUCACAGAGAGAAGCUGAAGUGAGACUCUUGAGAAAAUAAGACAAGAGAAUUGAGAAAGUGUGUAGGCAAGAUGCAUACUUUAAGAAGAUCUUAAGCUUUUAUCUCAGCUGAUUCCUAGAUUCAGAGAAUGCCCAGCUAGUCAGUGGCAGACUGCUUUGGCAACAAAACAGUCUACAAAGACUGGGAAAGCUGUAUGUUUUUACAAAUGCAAAUUUUCAACCAGGAGAACUUACAUGGCAUACAAAGAAGCAUGACCAGUUCAAGUAAAAGAAAAUAAAUUAGCAGAAGCCACCUCUGAAGAAGCACAGACAUUGGACUUACUAGGAAAAGACUUUAAAGAAAUUGUCUUAAAUAUGCUCAAGUAGCUAAAGGAAAACACCAAAAAAAAUUUUUUUAAAUAGGAAAUUAUAUAUGAACAAAAUGAGAAUACCAAUAGAGAGACAGAAUUAUAAAGAGGGAUCAAAAAGAAAUUCUGGAUCUGAAAAAUACAAUAUCUGAAUUGAAAAAUUUAUCAGAUGAACUCAACAGCAGAUUUAAUAAGGCGAAAGAAGAAAUUGGCAAACUUGAUGGCAGGGCAAUUGAAAUGAGUCAAAUCUGUCAGACAGAAAGAAAAAAGAUUAAAGUGAAUAGAGUCUAAACCACUUGUGAGCCAUCAUCAAACAAACCAAUAUAGACAUUACAGGAAUCCCAUAUGAAAAAGAGAGGAAAAUUUGAAGAAAUAAUGGCUGAAACCUACCCAAAUUUAUUGAAAGACAUAACUCUAUAAAUCUAAUAAUCCCAAAAAUCUCUGUAGGAUAAAUUCAAAGAGACUUAUGCCAAGACACAUUAUAAUAUGUCAAAAGACAAAGAAUUUUGAAAGUAGCAAGAGAGAAGUAAGUCAUCAUGUACAGGGAUCUUCAAUAUAAUUAUCAGUUUAAUUAUUUCAGCAGUAAUUUUGGUGGCC